rnacentral:rRNA from 1 species
UACGUAGGGGGCGAGCGUUGUCCGGAGUUACUGGGCGUAAAGCGCACGUAGGCGGCUUUGUAAGUUAGAGGUGAAAGCCCAGGGCUUAACCCUGGAAUUGCCUUUAAGACUGCAUCGCUAGAAUCGUGGAGAGGUGAGUGGAAUUCCGAGUGUAGAGGUGAAAUUCGUAGAUAUUCGGAAGAACACCAGUGGCGAAGGCGACUCACUGGACACGUAUUGACGCUGAGGUGCGAAAGCGUGGGGAGCAAACAGG